CCCAGCAAAGAGUUGCUCAGUGUUGGGAAUCAACAUUCCGUAUUAGGCAAAAACGAUACAAAAGUGAACCCAUAGAAACAUAUUUUGAAGCAUUUCCUUCUUUAAAACUCCAAUUCGGAAUUGAGCUGUUGGAGAUUGACUUUAAUACUUUACAUCCAAAUAAAGCGAACAUCAUUUACGAAAAUUGGCCAAGUGUUUCAAAAGCAAUAUUAUCCGAAGCUAAAGAACGAAAAAUUAUUAUUGAAGAAAGAAACGAAGAUUUGUCAACAAGUGCACUUCUAUGCUUGCCAUAUUUAUUUUCCCCAACUACUGUAAAAAAUAGUAGUAAAAAUAAAAUUGGGAACUGGCGUCCAAGCCGACUUGAAGUUCAGCAUAGUUUUUUCUUCUGUACUAAA